rnacentral:tRNA from 1 species
UGAUAUGUAACUUUAUUGGUAAAGUAAUAGGCUUUUAACUUAGAGUAAAUUGGUUCGAAUCCAAUCAUAUCAA